rnacentral:misc_RNA from 1 species
AUUAACAAUUUUUCAUCACAGAGUGGGGUAAAUAUGUUGCAGCCAAAUGUUCCCCUUCAGUCGAAUCCCAAUAUGCUUCAACAUCAGCAUCUGAAACAACAAGAACUGCUGCAGACUCAGCAGCUGAAACAACAAUUUCAACAGCGCCAACAGUUAAUGCAGAAGCAGCAGUUACUACAGCAGCAGCAGGCAAAGCAGCAGUUGCCUGCACAAAUGCAGGUACACCAAAUGCCACAGUUACAUCAGAUGAAUGAUGUCAAUGAGCUUAA